AAACGAUGUCCAGCCUCUCAAGAAGCAUCGUCUCAUUCUUUCCACUCCAAACGCAGGUUUUUCAAACAUAGAGUGAAAAUCUAGAAUCAUAGUUCUUCCAUUCCUCUUGUUCCGAUUUUCAAUAGUAUAGUAUCGAUUCAGGCAUCUUCUUCAUUUGUAACAAAUUUCUUUCCAUUUUCUUCAGACUUCUCUCUCCCAAUUUAUGGUUGAUAACUAAGAAAUAAUCAAGUUGAGGAUUUGGGGGAAAAUUCUAAGAGGCCAAGGAAUGUACGCAUAAAUUUGAAAAGUUGAGACGAGUGCCAUUUACAUUGUCGACGGAAUGUGUUUAUAUUAUCCUAUAUGGUUCAUGAGGGUUCCGGUUCCUAAUGUUAUGGACAUUUCCAGAGAUAUUAGUGAAGGAUGUUGCUAGGAAUCAUCAACAUGUGUAUUGACUAGAGUUAUUGUGUUCAUCCAGGCCCAUCUGGAAGAUGGGUUGCUGAGAUGAAGGACUCAUCUUAACGUGUGGGAUUAUGGCUAUGAAGAUGCUCCUAGGAAUCAUCAACAUGUGUAUUGACUAGAGUUAUUGUGUUCUUCUAGGUCCAUCUGGAAGAUGGGUUUCUGAGAUCAAGGACUCAUCUUAACGUGUGGGGUUAUGGCUAGGAACAUAUGAUACUCCUAAAGAAGCUGCUUGUGCCUAUGAUGAAGCUGCCUGUGCCCUACGUGGCGAAAAUGCACGAACCAAUUUCGCUUCUUCUGUUCCAAAUAAUCCUAAUACAAACGAUAAAUCGAAUAUAUUGCAGAGCUCUCAUGACACCAAACAUGAUCUUAGCUUUUCUUUGAUUAAAGCACAACUAAGUAAGAAUUUACAAAGCAUCAUGUCUAAGAAUUCAGAAAAAAAGUUAUCCAAGAGUAGAGUAAGUGAUCAUUUCACAUACAUUUGCUAGGAUUCCACUCUGAGAACAAUUAUGAUCACCAAUAUACCCAAACCAUCUUCAUGUAGACAUGAAUAUGGUAGUUAUCAACGGUGCUUCUUCUGAUUUUUUUUAAUUUUUUACUUAUAUGUUAUUUUUAUUUUUUAUUUAAAUAUAAAUAUAUUAUGCACAAUCUUGACGUUUUAUAGAUGUAAUUGGUAUUUUUGUAAUCAA